GGAGCAGCCCUUUGGCAAGUUCGGUUAACCCUUUGGUUUGUCAUUGCUGCAUCUGGACUGAGACAGUGAUGGCACAGGAGGUGAGGGGACCAUUUCUCUUCUCCUAAGGCAGCUUCACUAAAAGAAAGGUCAGCCAGGAGGUCAUUCCCUAUGGACCAGAGCUGAGCUCUGGUUUCUUUUGCACUGUCCCUUCCCCUCAGGAGCUGACUGCAAACUCACACAGGUGAUGUUCCUUAAAUCCUUAACUCCCAGAAGCACAGAAUUGCAUCAGAACCUCCACGUUUAGCUCAGCUCAGCUCAGCUCAGCUCUCACCUGGGCCAAGACAAGGACCUGGGCUGCCUUUCAGCAUGGAGGGGGUGAUGCUUGAGACCGGGGAGUGUGACAGCCCAGUCUGCCCAGAGAUGGAAAGUUAGAAACUGGAAAUGUACCUGGAUGCCACCCUGAGUCAGCCCAAACCGAAGCAUCUCUACAAAACACCUAGAUGUGAACAAACUGCCGUCCUCUGACAAAAAUAUUCCGUCUGAGAAUUUCUGACCAGCUCCGUGGUAAACACCUCCAGGGUGUCGUUUGUGUCUGAUACAGGGCAAAAAUUAUUCGGGUACCUGUUACUCGGGGUGGAAAGAUGAGGGAAUGGAAUAGUAAAUUAAAGGGGCUGAAACAAAAAGCAGCUGAUUGUCUGAG